GCCAGAUGGAGAAUAGCUGUAUGGAAACGAUCCUCUAUUGCCAUCAGAGAAAGGGAGAAACUCAAGGAGAAAACAGGAGAGAAAACAGGAGGCCCUCUUUGAAAUGCGGCAGUUCAAACAUUUGAGAUUGAAACAGGGUAUGGGGAUGUGAAUGCCUGGAUAGAAUGGGUCAAAUAUACUGUCCAGAGUCUCAACCAUAGCAAUUGCUAUGGUUGUGUCUAGUGAUAGAAAUGGCC